AGAAGGCUUAGAGAGAGAGGAGGAGAGAAGCAGGAGAGAGGGAGGGUGCCUUCUGUCCCCUCCGUCCCAAGUCGGGUUUCCUAGUCCCAAACCAGGCUUCCCGGGCACCCCUUCCUCACAGCCAACUACACACAGGCAAAAGGCUACUGACGGAAAAGGGAAGGCUUCAAGGCCACUCUGAGUAGUUUUAAUGCCACUCUGGCUGUGCCCCUUGGUCAUAUGAAGCCCCAAGCCAUGCCGUUGAGGCCAGUGCUUCCUCCCUUCCAAGAGAGGGUGGGUAAGGGCCCGAAAAAGUACCUGGGUACCCCUGCUCCAGGGUCAUUUACGGUAUGUGCCCCCUUCCCCAUUGAUUCUUUCCUGACAGGUUGGGACAACUCCCUUAGCAACAAAGAGUUGCUAAGAAGCCACAGGCUGGCUUGAGCCCACAGCGUGAAGGCAGCGCCCUUGUGGAGUUGGGAUAUUCUGACCCACUCGGGGCGGGCUCCACACACCAACACGUUUUGGGAUCCAAGCGCUCAGGGAACUGGAGACUUCACGUUUCCAGCUGCCCAGGAGUGGUCAGGCUCAAAGGAGGACGACAAAAAGGAAAUCAGUGCCGGAUACAAGAAAUGCCCAGUUCCGGAUACACAGACGGAAAAUACGGCAGGGAGGAAACCCGUCCACGGGGCAUCCAUUUCUAGACCCUUCCAGACCAAGGCACGUGUUCCCCCAUGCCGUGGCGGCCCACAUUUACCAUCUGGCCCUUCACAGGAAGAGUGUGUCAACCCUCGGUGUGGACAAACCCCGUUCUUGUCCCCAGAGAGGUCAGCACGUGAGGAUGGAGAGAGAUGAACUCAUGAUUAUAACCUACUGUGAGACCUCCUAGGGGAAGGUGGAGAUAGUUUACAGUGGAGAAAUGCAAACAUUUUUUCUCUCGGCUGAAGCAUCCAUUUGUAAAUAGCCUUUGGCCCCCUGAAGUUCUUCUCCUUCACUGAUUCUGAAAAUCCAUCCUGCUCUCCCCAAGGCACAUAUCCAGGCCCUCCUAAGACCCAGAAGAACGCCAAGAUUUCUAUUUAAGGAGCGUCCCUCUUCUUCAAAGGUGGCUGUGGUUAUAAAUAGCCGCAUUUUAAAAAAUUGAAUGUUUAUGUUUUCAUCAGACUGUCAAGGUUAGGAAAACUGGCCUUCAAAUACAACCACCCUGGAUUUGGAUUCUGGCUAUGCCUACAUAACAAAUUCAUGUGAUUGUUGUGAAACCAGCGCAAGAUAUUUCAUGUAAAGAGCUUAUUAUAAUGUUUGGCAUUUAGUGAGGAACCAAUAAUAAGCAUUGCUUAACAAUAACAAUGAUAAUAGAUCGUCUUAUCUUUUGUAUACUGAAUAAUAAUAAUAAUAAAUUUAAUGUUUGGUACACUGCUUAAUAAUAAUAAGGAAAACUUCUUAUGUUUGGUCAUUAGUAAAUAAUCAAUAGUAGUUUAAUUCAGAUUUAUAAAUAAAUUUAAUGAUAACAUUUAUUACUAUUUUAUAUAUUUGUAAUAGUUCUAUGUGCCUAACAUAAACCGAUCCUGUUUUGCUGGGUGUUGCAGAAUAUGGCAUCAGUUUUGGUAGGUAUGGGAAAAGAAUAUUGAAAAAAAAAAUGAUUUCUCCAUUUGCAUGAAGAGUCAUGAAAAUGUUAAAUUUUACCAUCCGUGAUCAUGCCCCAGCUGACUGAAUACACCAUUAC